UCACCACCUAAGCACCCAUACCACUACAAGUCUCCACCACCACCAUCACCUUCACCACCUAAGCACCCAUACCACUACAAGUCUCCCCCACCACCAUCACCACCCAAGAAGCCUUACCAUUACAAGUCUCCACCACCACCACCUUCUCCUACUCCUCCAGUCUACUCACCACCCAAGAAGCCUUACCACUACAAGUCUCCCCCACCACCCACACCAGUCUACAAGCCACCAGUUUACUCACCACCCCCACCACCUAAGAAACCAUACAAGCCACCAACUCCUCCAGUUCACACCGCACCACCACACCCUUACAUCUACUCAUCACCCCCACCUCCUCACCACUACUAGAUAAUGAGAGCUAGACUGCAUCCAGCUGGUAAGGUGAAGACCAGGUCCAAAUAAAGAAGGGGCUGUCGAAGCCGGAGCGCCUUAACCUACAAAAAAGAAGAAGAUCGAGUCUCCGCAGUUGAUGUAACGUUUUUAUUUAUGCAGAUGUUGUAUUUUUAUUAGACAGUUGUAGUGCACUUGUUUUAUUUUAUAUAUUUCUCAAAAGAGAUGCCAUAUGUAUUGUCGUUUAUUUCAACCUUCUUCCUAAUGGAGAGGAGAUCAUCAUAAUAAUAAAAUAAAUACGUUUCCCAAAUUUUCCUUA